rnacentral:miRNA from 1 species
UUGGCUGGUCUCUGCUCCGCAG